rnacentral:lncRNA from 1 species
UAAAAAUAUCUGUCCAGUGGGCAAUAUACAUUUCAAGCUCCAGAAAAUCAUAUUCAAACUACCGCUCCACUAAAUGACUCAGAUUGCACUCCGUUAUUGCACAUUUACUUUUAAGUUAUGAAUCCAAUUUAGAUCUCAGAAACCAGAGCAACAAUUCGACUUCAAUAAGAACCACUUUGUGCUUACCCAAUUAAAUUGAUAACAAGCUGUUCCAUAAUUUAGCCCAUGUUUGUCUCUCAUUAUUUCAAAAACCUCUCUCUCUCUCUCUCUCUCUCUUCAAAAAUCUUUGCGGCUAUAAAUCAUCAUCGUUAUCUUGUCCUCUGUGGUUGAGAUUGAGAAGCAAUCAAGCUGAAUAUAUUGCUUGUAGAUUGGAGCCGUUUAAAUUGGUUGUUUGUAAGAGAAAGGUAACGUUAAACUAACCCAAAAAAUACCAUUUUGACUAUCCUUGGAGUGAACUUCCGCGGCAAUUAGUAUUAGAGCUUCAAGAUGGUGGAUUUGGCUUUUGAAACUUACCAAAAAAGCCCAGAAAACCAACUGAAAAAAAGCAGAAAUUAGAUUGAAAAAGCUGUCCAGAAAUUGCCCAAAAACCACAUCUAUAAUUGCAAUUUUCAGCCAAAACCAGUGGCCAAUUGGACAAAUAGAGACCCUGAUAGACAUUGCAGGUCAAGGCGCACCUACCUAUCUAGCUAGUGGAGGUUACAGUCGACAGAGGGGCUUGCAGGCGUGUGGAGAAGAUUCCGAUGACGGAGUCUAAAGACAGGGUUUUCCUGGAGGCGUGGUGUACUCCGCGGUGGUUCAAUUUUUGUUUUGGACAAAAUUGUGGUUCUAGAUGGUUUUGUCCCUUGUACGUUCGAGUUCCUUUUUUUCCUUAAUUGGUUGUUGUAGCAGCUGGAGACUUUAGGAUGAAUAGUGGUGGUCCUAAAGUGAUAAAUUCAUAUUUCUCGUAAUUUAUGGACUCAAAUUGGUUUGCUUGGUAUAUUGGUCUAUCCCAAUUUAAAUUUCACCGCUAGCACGACAUCAUGU